rnacentral:rRNA from 1 species
UUUCCCUACGGGGCGCAGCAGUGGGGAAUAUUGGACAAUGGGGGGAACCCUGAUGCAGCGACGCCGCGUGGGUGAAGGAGCGUUUCGGCGCGUAAAUCCCUAUCGGCAGGGAAGAAGAUGACGGUACCUGACCAAGAAGCCCCGGCUAACUACGUGCCAGCAGCCGCGGUAAUACGUAGGGGGCAAGCGUUAUCCGGAUUUACUGGGUGUAAAGGGAGCGCAGGCGGCUUGGCAAGUCUGAUGUGAAAGGCUGGGGCUCAACCCCAGGCCUGCAUUGGACACUGUUAGGCUGGAGUGUC